rnacentral:rRNA from 1 species
UACAGAGGGGGCUAGCGUUGUUCGGAAUUACUGGGCGUAAAGCGUGCGCAGGCGGUUGUGCAAGACAGAGGUGAAAUCCCCGGGCUUAACCUGGGAAUGGCCUUUGUGACUGCACGGCUAGAGUGUGUCAGAGGGGGGUAGAAUUCCACGUGUAGCAGUGAAAUGCGUAGAGAUGUGGAGGAAUACCGAUGGCGAAGGCAGCCCCCUGGGAUAACACUGACGCUCAUGCACGAAAGCGUGGGGAGCAAACAGG